rnacentral:rRNA from 1 species
AACGAACGCUGGCGGCAGGCCUAACACAUGCAAGUCGAACGAUCCUUCGGGAUAGUGGCGGACGGGUGAGUAACACGUGGGAACCUACCUAUCGGUACGGGAUAACAGAGGGAAACUUCUGCUAAUACCGUAUACGUCCUUCGGGAGAAAGUUUUUCGCCGAUAGAUGGGCCCGCGUUCGAUUAGAUUGUUGGUGGGGUAACGGCCUACCAAGUCUACGAUCGAUAGCUGGUCUGAGAGGAUGAUCAGCCACACUGGGACUGAGACACGGCCCAGACUCCUACGGGAGGCAGCAGUGAGGAAUAUUGGACAAUGGGGGAAACCCUGAUCCAGCCAUGCCGCGUGCGCGAUGAAGGCCUUAGGGUUGUAAAGCGCUUUCACCCGUGAAGAUGAUGACGGUAGCGGGAGAAGAAGCCCCGGCUAACUCCG